AACCUUAUGGACCUGCGGGCGUAUACCUGCGGAAGGAUCAUUACAGAGUUAUCCAACUCCCAAACCCAUGUGAACUUAUCUCUUUGUUGCCUCGGCGCAAGCUACCCGGGACCCCGCGCCCCGGGCGGCCCGCCGGCGGACAAACCAAAACUCUUGUUAUCUUAGUUGAUUCUCUGAGCGUCUUAUUUAAUAAGUCAAAACUUUCAGCAACGGAUCU
rnacentral:misc_RNA from 1 species